CAUCGUGAGGUGGAAUCGGAAGGAAGCUGGAUAUGGGGAACCAACUAAACCAUGGGCAAAUCUCUGGUCUGACGGACAGAAAUCACAUAGAAGGCUAUGUAUGAGGGUAAGACUGCUACACAAGUUGAAGCCCAAUAGCUAUACGGAAUCAUGCAGAGUAAAUGUGGCAGAUAGAUGGAGAGAAAGAAAC
rnacentral:ncRNA from 1 species